rnacentral:rRNA from 1 species
ACGGCCUACGGGGGGCAGCAGUGGGGAAUAUUGCACAAUGGGGGGAACCCUGAUGCAGCGACGCCGCGUGGGUGAGGAAGUACUUCGGUAUGUAGAGCCCUAUCAGCAGGGAAGAAAAUGACGGUACCUGACUAAGAAGCUCCGGCUAAAUACGUGCCAGCAGCCGCGGUAAUACGUAUGGAGCAAGCGUUAUCCGGAUUUACUGGGCGUAAAGGGAGCGUAGGCGGCCUGCCAAGUCUGAUGUGAAAUACCGGGGCUCAACCCCGGGGCUGCAUUGGAAACUGGCAGGCUGGAGUGCCGGAGAG